CGUGUGCUUACAAGUAGUCAGAGCCCGUUAAUGGGUGAUGGCGUGCCUUUUGUAGAAUGAACCGGCGAGUUACGAUUUGAUGCAAGGUUAAGCAGUAAAUGUGGAGCCGUAGCGAAAGCGAGUCUGAAUAGGGCGUUUAGUAUUUGGUCGUAGACCCGAAACCAGGUGAUCUACCCUUGGUCAGGUUGAAGUUCAGGUAACACUGAAUGGAGGACCGAACCGACUUACGUUGAAAAGUGAGCGGAUGAACUGAGGGUAGCGGAGAAAUUCCAAUCGAACCUGGAGAUAGCUGGUUCUCUCCGAAAUAGCUUUAGGGCUAGCCUCAAGUGAUGAUUAUUGGAGGUAGAGCACUGUUUGGACGAGGGGCCCCUCUCGGGUUACCGAAUUCAGACAAACUCCGAAUGCCAAUUAAUUUAACUUGGGAGUCAGAACAUGGGUGAUAAGGUCCGUGUUCGAAAGGGAAACAGCCCAGACCACCAGCUAAGGUCCCAAAAUAUAUGUUAAGUGGAAAAGGAUGUGGCGUUGCCCAGACAACUAGGAUGUUGGCUUAGAAGCAGCCAUCAUUUAAAGAGUGCGUAAUAGCUCACUAGUCGAGUGACACUGCGCCGAAAAUGUACCGGGGCUAAACAUA
rnacentral:rRNA from 1 species